rnacentral:rRNA from 1 species
GUGAGGAAUAUUGGUCAAUGGGCGAGAGCCUGAACCAACCAAGUCGCGUGAAGGAAGACGGCCCUACGGGUUGUAAACUUCUUUUGCAAUGGAAUAAAAAGAGUUACGUGUAAUUCAUUGUAUGUACAUUGCGAAUAAGGAUCGGCUAACUCCGUGCCAGCAGCCGCGGUAAUACGGAGGAUCCGAGCGUUAUCCGGAUUUAUUGGGUUUAAAGGGUGCGUAGGCGGAUUGGAAAGUCAGCGGUGAAAGUUUGCAGCUUAACUGUAAAAUUGCCAUUGAAACUGUCAGUCUUGAGUGCAAAUGAGGUAGGCGGAAUGUGUUGUGUAGCGGUGAAAUGCAUAGAUAUAACACAGAACACCAAUUGCGAAGGCAGCUUACUGGGAUGCAACUGACGCUGAGGCACGAAAGCGUGGGGAUCAAACAGGAUUAGAUACCCCUGUAGUCC